rnacentral:rRNA from 1 species
UACAGAGGGGGCAAGCGUUGUUCGGAAUUACUGGGCGUAAAGGGCGCGUAGGCGGCCCGCUAAGUCGAACGUGAAAUCCCCGAGCUCAACUCGGGAACUGCGUCCGAUACUGGCGGGCUUGAAUCCGGGAGAGGGAUGUGGAAUUCCAGGUGUAGCGGUGAAAUGCGUAGAUAUCUGGAGGAACACCGGUGGCGAAGGCGACGUCCUGGACCGGCAUUGACGCUGAGGCGCGAAAGCCAGGGGAGCAAAGCGGGG